AGGAGUAUCUGCACCAUACUAGAAUACGGGGGCUGAUUUGGGAGAUAAUUCUUGCCCUUCAGUUCUUUGUUUACCAGUAUGGGAUUGUGUAUCAUUUACAUGUAGCCAGAGGUGACCAGAGCAUCAUGGUUUAUGGUCUGUCCUGGCUAGUCAUAGUGGCUGUCAUGAUCAUCUUGAAGAUCGUGUCCAUGGGUAGAAAAACUUUUAGUGCUGAUUUUCAGCUUAUGUUUCGUCUCCUCAAAUUGUUUCUGUUUAUUGGAG